CACCAAUCGGUCGGUUGGGAAAUUCGUCGAGUUGCCACGCGCUACGUAACGAUCCUAGAGUAUAUAAGGCUCUGCGGCCGGUCAACAAGAACAGUCUCUUCGUUGCCCUAACCUUUGCUGGGAAGCCUCUCUGAGCGAUGAUGAGCCGUUGUGUGUUCCUGCUCCUGCUGGUGACGCUGGCGCUGGCGGCGCUGGCGGUGGCCGGCGGGCCGAUGCCAAAGGCCGAGGCCGAGCCGCACUUCUUCAGGCCAUACGGCUACUACAGACCCUACGGCUAUCACGGCUACCGCAGACCUUACUUUGGGUGAGAGAGAAGGGAGGGCGGACCGUCAAGCGAGGGGGUACUUAGCCAUCCGAGCCCAGCUGAUUUCACCAUCAAGGAUGCUGAGUCUCUCCUAGUGGUCCUAUGAAAUGUUGAUUAUUGAUGCUGUACGAUUUGAAAUUAAGCUUUUUUGCAUCAAAAUUUUGAAAUAAAUUGUUGUGACUUUA
rnacentral:lncRNA from 1 species